rnacentral:rRNA from 1 species
CGGAGGAUCCAAGCGUUAUCCGGAAUCAUUGGGUUUAAAGGGUCCGUAGGCGGUUUGGUAAGUCAGUGGUGAAAGCCCAUCGCUCAACGGUGGAACGGCCAUUGAUACUGCCAGACUUGAAUUACUGGGAAGUAACUAGAAUAUGUAGUGUAGCGGUGAAUGCUUAGAGAUUACAUGGAAUACCAAUUGCGAAGGCAGGUUACUACCAGUGGAUUGACGCUGAUGGACGAAAGCGUGGGUAGCGAACAGGAUUAGAUACCCUGGUAGUCCACGCCGUAAACGAUGGAUACUAGCUGUUGGGGGCAACUUCAGUGGCUAAGCGAAAGUGAUAAGUAUCCCACCUGGGGAGUACGUUCGCAAGAAUG